rnacentral:lncRNA from 1 species
UUUACUUUACAGUGACUUGUGGGCCUGCAAGGAACAAAAGUGCACAAAGGCAGUAAACCUACAGUUUUUGGAGUAGUAAAGCCAACUAUAAUCCUUGAUGAUAUCUGCUAUCCACAAGCUACCUCGGGCCUAAAAUGAUUGAAAAUGAGGGUGGUGAGAUUAUAAAAUCCCAAUGAGUAAACAGAUACCAUCUAAACCAUCUAAAGCCGAGUAAAUGGAGACAGAUAAAACAGUUUAACAUACUGAAAUUCAUCACCUUUCAACUUGUUUCAACCAAAUAAAAUCAAUUCAUAUAAAUUGAGUAAUUGACAUGGCUUAUGAAUUUCUUAAAACUUUGGCUCCUGUCAAAAUCAUUCUUAUACCUAGUUAUCAGGGAUACCUUGGCCACAGGCUAUCCCAAACCCAGUUCGCCAAAGCUAUUAAAAAGUUAUGUACUCAUAAAUCAUGUUUUUUAUUUUGAAAAUAUAGUCGUUCCUUGGCAUUGGCUGAGUUCGCCUUCACGUGGUGGUUUGGCUUGAAGUGAACUCUAAAAGUUAUACCUCGGGAGUUACCCUACUCGCCUCUCCAACCGAGGUAAGAAUAUGACUAGGUUCCAUGCCCCUCUAAUAGGCUAGUCCACAGAAUUAGCCCACUGCAGCAAGCUAAACCCACCAUACAAUAAAAUUUGUAAUAGCAUGACAUGGCAAUUUUAUCAUUAUCCAGCCUAUCAAAGUAAACAACAGUUAUACAUUUCAACUCAAAUACCAAUUCAGCCAUUCAUGCCAAUAUUGUCAUAAGCCAAUCAAUUGGACCCAUAAAUUCACAAUACAUCAAAUGGUCUCUAAUUACUCUAUUUGAAAAAGCCAUUAUUCAAUUUCAAGACAAUUUUACAAAAUCAUCUCAUUUAAACACAUUUUGUUUAUAAAACAUAAAGAUUUACCAUUUAAACUCAUUUCUCUAUCAAAUCACAAAAACGAUUAAAAACUACUUUAGAUAAUUAAGGCGAUAACAAGGUUACUCAUAGUACUAGGAGUUUGAUAUACUCUUAUUCCCGAUCUUCGGGCACAAUCUCUUUACCUUUGUUAGAGGGCUCACCACCUAUACAUCAUACGUGACACGAAUUUCAAUAAAUUGUGUCAAUGUAUCAUAAACUAUUUCAGGCUCUAAAAAUCUAUAUGAAUGUAUGAAAUGUGAUGCAAAAUGUCCGAAUAGACAUUUAAAUGCGGUAUUCGACCUAAUUCGCACUAUUCUCGGUGUAAUUGGCUAAAACCUCCAAUUUAACUCCAAAUCGAUUUCUUUCAUUUUUUACACUCCAAUUAUUCUUAAAAUACCUCAAUGACUGUGAAUAUGAUUCAAUUUAUCAGUCCGAACCACAAAUCGCACAUGUUUAUACAUUAGGUAAAAAUUCAGAUUUUCAUGCCAAAAUUUCCCAUUUAAAUUUCUAGCCUCACCAAUCAUUAAAUACUACCAAAAUAUCAUGAAAUAUCAUCAAUUUCAGCCUCAAUAUCCUCUCUAGAAAAUUCAACCUCUUGUGGGUUUGUGAAGAACAAAGUGAUUCCUUGCUAGAUUUUCAUACUUUCCAUUACCAAACAACCAAAAACACUUAAUUAGCUCGAAAUCUAGCAAAAUCAAUGCUCAAAACCUCUCCUCUCAAAUUCGGCUAGCAUGGGUUUAUCAUGCAAACUUGAGUUCUAAGCAUGGAAAAUGAAAAAGAAAGCAUGGGUUGUCACGACCCGAAACUCCCAUCGAGCCUGUGACAACCGCCUUGACGUCCCGAUAGGCACUCAUUACCCCGAAUGCCGAUCGAAACCACGCAAGGCUUAGCAUCAGCUUUCGCAUCUCCCCAGUGAGCGACAGCUAUUAAAUCUCACAUUUCAAAAAAAUCAUAAGUCAUUUCCAAAUCAAAACAAUAAAAUAUUACUUUCUGGCUCAUAGGGGCAUUUUCGUCAUUUUUCUUUGAAAAUAUCGAAACUCGCCAAAAACAUGGUGUAAAAGCUAAAUAUAUUCAUACAUACUUUAAAUCAAAUAACUGAAGAAUAAAAUUACUUUUACAGUGACACGUGGGCCCUCAACUGACUAAGAAGAUGUAGGGCUAUGAACCCUUACUUUCUAGGAUGCAACUCUGAGAUUACUUCUCAUCUUAAUCAACUAUCAACAAAUUGUCCUGAGCCUGAAAAAUGGAUAGGAAUAGGGGUGAGAUUAUGAUUACAUAAUCCCAGUGAGUAGACAGACAUCAUCAAAACAAUCUAAAGCCGAGUAAUAGGAGACAAUUAAAAUAAUUCAUCCCAACCCAUAUAAAUAAUUGGAUUUCAUUCAAUUACUCAACAUGGCUUAUGCACUUUUCAAAAACUUGGCCCUUGCCAAAAAUCCAUUCUCGGGGAUACCCCACGGAGGUAUCUUACCGAGACCGCCAAGGCUGUUUAUUGUCACACACACAAACACAUUUCACCUCUGACAACACAGCCGUUCCUUGGCGUUGGCUGAGUCUCACUCUCACGUGGUGGCCCGAACGUGAGGCGCACUCAAAUCCUACCUCGGGAGUUAUCCUACGCGCCUCUCCAAUCGAGGUAAGCUCAUUAAUUGGGAACCGUGCCCCUCUAAUUAGGCUAGCCCACGGAACCCCCGUCACUGCGGUGCCCACUUUAUAACCCACCAACCAAUAAAAUCACAAUAGUAUGACAUGGCUCACUUAACACAUUCAAGGAAAAUCAAAAUAGUUCACAUAUUCUUUAAAUCAUAGAAAUAACUAGCCAUACCCACAUUUAUCAUAAGCCAUUUAAUGUAAAAUCAUGGAUAAACAACACAAUCAUAGUAUAGGUCUCCAAUUACUCUAUUUUUGAAAUCAUUAUUAAAUUUUCAAAAAUUUUAUAAAAUUAUUUUAUAAAAUCUCAUUUUCCCAUAAAACACAAUAAUUUUUCAAUUAAACCAUUUUUCCAUAAAAUCACUCAAUUAAAUAAAUCUACUCUAGAUAAUUAAGAUGAUAGUAAGUUUACUCACAAUUCUAGGAGUCGAUAUACUCCUAUUUUCAGUCCACGGGUACAGUCCUUUACCUGUAUCUAAUGGCUCACCACCUAGCCAUAAUCCAUGGCACAUAUUUCAAUUAAAUUGGGUCUAACAGUCAUAAGCUAUUUCAGGCUCGAUAUAUAUGCGUGAUAUGAAAUGAAAAAUGCACAGGUUAUUGACCUAAGUCGAUUUUUCAUCCAAUAAAUUGGCCAAUGCGUCCAAUUUCACUCAAACUUGCUCCAUUUCUUUUCCAAUCCCUCAAUUCACCAAGCACAACUAAUUAACACACAAUUAGGCAAAAUUUAUCUUCACUUUUCUUCUUGGAACUUUCGGCCAACAAUGGUACACUAACUCCGUGAUUUUUCCUACUUAAUUUUCUUUCCAUAAUUCAUUAAUUCCUACACCAAAAACUAUUAUUUCUUAAUCAAAUCACCUAGAAUAACAUCUCAUUCUUCCUCUUUAUUCACUUAGAGAAUUCGGCUAUUGAUGGGAACCAAACCUUUGGUGGUUUUCUUCACUUGUUUUCAUGCUACACAUCAUUAAUCACCUAAAAACACUAAUAUACCUAAAAAUCAAACCAAUCCAAGAUCAUUCUCUCUCCAUACCCAUUUUGACCAGCCAUGAAUUCAUCAUGAAAACAUGUAAUUUAACCAUGGAACUUAAGGGAAAAUGCAUGGGUAAGGUAAAUCACUAGCAAAAUCAAAGAAAUUUUACCUUUGCUUGAUCAAAUCCUUGAAUUCCAACAUUUUCUCUUUGAUUUGUCCCACCUAGGGUUUGUUUUUCCUUGGUUUCUCUUCUCUUCUGGUUUG